rnacentral:rRNA from 1 species
UACGUAGGGGGCAAGCGUUGUCCGGAAUCAUUGGGCGUAAAGAGCUCGUAGGCGGCUUGGCAAGUCGGGUGUGAAACCUCCAGGCUCAACCUGGAGACGCCACCCGAGACUGCUAUGGCUAGAGUCCGGUAGGGGACCACGGAAUUCCUGGUGUAGCGGUGAAAUGCGCAGAUAUCAGGAGGAACACCGGUGGCGAAGGCGGUGGUCUGGGCCGGCACUGACGCUGAGGAGCGAAAGCGUGGGUAGCAAACAGG